rnacentral:antisense_RNA from 1 species
CAGUAUGGGCGGGCCGUGUGGGAGGCCUCGAGCCUGCUGGUUCCUUCGGUCCAGCCUGUCAACCCGCACGGUUCCGCCCA